GUGGGGAAUUUUGGACAAUAGGCGCAAGCCUGAUCCAGCCAUGCCGCGUGCAGGAUGAAGGCCUUCGGGUUGUAAACUGCUUUUGUACGGAACGAAAAGACUUCUUCUAAUACAGGAGGUCCAUGACGGUACCGUAAGAAUAAGCACCGGCUAACUACGUGCCAGCAGCCGCGGUAAUACGUAGGGUGCAAGCGUUAAUCGGAAUUACUGGGCGUAAAGCGUGCGCAGACGGUUAUAUAAGACAGAUGUGAAAUCCCCGGGCUCAACCUGGGAACUGCAUUUGUGACUGUAUAGCUAGAGUACGGUAGAGGGGGAUGUAAUUCCGCGUGUAGCAGUGAAAUGCGUAGAUAUGCGGAGGAACACCGAUGGCGAAGGCAAUCCCCUGGACCUGUACUGACGCUCAUGCACGAAAGCGUGGGGAGCAAACAGGAUUAGAAACCCUAGUAGUCC
rnacentral:rRNA from 1 species